rnacentral:sRNA from 1 species
UUGCUCGUUAUACAUAAAGUUGAUGAUGACUGCAAAGAUGAAGAAAAUAGGGUCUCUUUCCCAGCACAUUGGGGCGCACUGUAAUCCGAGAGUAGCUGUCAUUGAAGACGAUCAACGCAUCGCCCCGUUGGGGAAAGAUGACAAUCUCGAGAUUGGCCAUUGUGAUCCCCCCACCAAAAUCCUCAUCGUUUGAGCUAGAAAUGUAUGCAAGGCAGAUGAGAUGAGUUUUGGGUUAAGAGCAGCUAAUUGGAAACUUUAUUUAAGACUUACAAGGGUAAGAAGGGUAUAUUGAUUUUGUGCAAAUGUAUGUAAUAGGCAGAAAAACGUAUCUCCGAUCCCAUAAAGUAUACGAGUAUACUGUAUAUUCAGGGUCAACAGCCGAAUCGAUAGAGGCAUGUCCAACUAUCUGUCUGUGUGUAUGAACACGAAGAUCUCAGAGACUAUAGGAGCUAGAGACUUUAAAUUUGGAAUAGAGGUGCUCGUAUAUCCGGUGCAGUCCAAGUUUUCUUUAUUUUAUUGACAACUGCCUCCGUUUCUUGUAAAUCGAUACUUUUAAAUUUCCGACAGCAAUAAAUGCCACAAUUUCAGAA